CAGAAAGAAUGGCCAUCAUCAAGAAAUCAGAAAGAAUACAAAUGAUUCCAGAUAGAAGAUCUGAGGUGCAGGAAGAAAAGAAAACAUGCAAAUUGGCAAAUAUGAAAGUCAGUAUAAAGACAUAUUGACUGGAUCAAACACUGAUGAUGUCGAAAUGGGAUUAAACAAUAGAACAAAGCACGGACUGCAAGUGGCUCACUGCUAAGAUGAUCAAAAUUCAAGUGUUCUGGAGUUCUUGAAUUCAUUCUGACAAAGGUCAGCUGGUAUCACAAGGAAAAUGUCUAUAACUAUACAGCGAGAGAAGAGUCCACAGGAAUUAUGAAGAGCAGUCUGCAGUUUUAUAAAGGAGGACUUUGAAGUCAAGGAUGUGACUUGUUCCCUCAUGGAAGCUCAGCAUCUCUUGGAGCCUCGGUUUGUGGUUCUCAAAACCUUUGGGAGUCCCAGGGCUAAAGGAAGGCAAGAGAGAUUCAGAGCUAGCAGUAAAUGUGUGUCUGCUGUGUCCCUGCCAACACCUUACCGCUCCCAGAAGGCAGCCUCUCCUGAUCUCAGUUUCUGCUGGAGUUUCCUCCCCUCUUCACUCAUCAUCUAAGCAUCUGGGAAAGGCAAGAGAUGGAGGCUUCUCUAGUGUCCCGUCAAGCCUGCACAGUGUGACCUGAAGUUUUGGUGUUCUCUAGCUAGCAUCUUCCAAGGCAGAGUGGUCGAAACGUGUCACUGUGGCCCUAGGAGUCCGGUUCAGCCCGAUCCUUGAUUUACGAUGUUCUGCAGUGGCCACCUGAGGAAGAGGUUAGUGCCAGACCUCUGAGCUCUCUCAAAGGCUCAGCAAGCUGGGGGAGCCCCCUUUGAUUCUGCUGUGGUGACACCCCAUGGUCCAGCUUUGCUUUCCUUAGCUGACAGGAAGGUUGUGCAGCUAAUUCCAACAGCUGCCACAGCAUUCACCUUUGCUGCCCUUUUCCCUGUGGUGCAGGUAUGUGGAGC
rnacentral:lncRNA from 1 species